rnacentral:misc_RNA from 1 species
UAUAGUAGGGAGGAGGGGUCCUCCCGGUCGGGCAUAGGGAAGUCGGUUGGUUUUUCGUUGGAAAAGACACACGUCUCUUCCGUAACCAAUUUCGUCCCAACGUUGCCUCGGAUGUCCCGUCGUUAUGCCAGCACGAAGGUGCUGGCCCGGUCCCGUGUACGUCUCCUGAGAAAUCUUGACCCAACAGCCAAACGUGGCUUGGGAAACAGGAAAGUACCCAGUUUCGCACAUGAUCCGACCGACGGUAAACAGUCGCAACGUUGUCCCUCCAAUGCCGCCUCCGGAAAAACCCCRGGGGGGCUUCGUCAUCGUUGUCCCGGUCCCGUGUAAGUCUCACGUGAAAUUCUGACCCAACAGCCGAAUGCGGCUCGGGAUACAGGAAACUAGCCUGUUACGUGCAUGAUAAGACCUSCGGACAACGUUGCACCGACGUCCCCCCUAAUUUCGCCUUUGGAAAAUCGUUKCACCCGUAAUUUUAUUGUUGUGGGUGUGACACGUGUGACGUGGCCUUGCAGGACGCCUUCAUGUGAGUUAUUCUCCCRUGCUCUGCAUGGGCGGAGGCUUCGUUGGUUUGACCGCUUGUUGGCUACUAAGCGCAUGAGCAGCUUUGGACCCGUGUCUGCCGGUAGAUCCCCCGUUGUACUGCGGCCGACUACCGGCGCCGUGUCCCGUCAAUCGUGUGGCUUCGAAUCGCUGGAUUAAGAGUGCUUGCGUGCUAUUACCCGGCCUACGGGAAGUGGUGCUUCGUAUAUUUGUUGCCUCGCGGCGGACGCCCWUUGGGUGUGCCGUUGCGGCCAAAUAGCGCUUGCGGCGUUGCCUCAUGGCGCCGGCACGUACGUGCCUGGUGCUAUCAAGGCAACCUCGCUCCCGCUGUUGGUAUCGGAUGCUGCUCACGAUAAAGAGUCGUGGCCCUUUUGGUUGCCUCGACCCGACCAAAAGCUCUUCGAACUGAGAACAACCGGAACAAGAGUUGCCUCUACCUCUCCACAGUUACGUGGUAGGAUACGCGACUCUCUGCGCCGAUCCUCAUGGACGAUGAGCUAUGCCGCUCAAAAGCGACAACCGGUCCGGCUGUUUCCUAUGAGUUUCCACGCAAGUGGAAGAGCAGGGAGACGGCCGACGCUGGGCGUCACCGAGGACGUGC